CGCAUACUCCAUUUUCGGCCAAACCAAAAAUUACCCAAUACCCAAUACAAUCAAAUUUACUCUACCUACUCAAACCCAACCCACCUGGGGCCGUCCUACCUAAGGGCAGGGUAGGCAGCCGCCUACUCCAUUUUUUGCCAAACCAAAAAUUACCCAAUACCUGUGGUUGAUUGAAGAAAAGGGAAGGAUUCUGAGGAAAUGGAGAGAGGAAGAAAGAGCCUUCAUCCACAGAGGAGCAUGUGCAUGCCAAAUUCUCUAGAGAAAGAAAGAAAGGAUUCUGACUAUUUCAAGAUUUUAGAUUGGUAUAUACUCUUUUGUAGUUAGGCAUAAAACCUAGGUUUUCUUUCCCUCUCCCGCCUUAUUCUCUUCUCUGUUCGCUCUCUCCCAAACGACAUUGUACGAUCCGAAUUCAAUGUUUUUUCUUAUGUGAUGAGUAUCCGAAUGGCAAACCCGGCGAUUGUACGCUCCCAUACUGUGAAUGGUGUUUCCAAAGUACAUUCAGAAUUGCUAAAAGCAAAAUAAUUCAAGGACUUCUAGGAGCUGUGGCCUCCGAAAUUUCAAUGCAAGACAAAUGGUGUUACCCGGGUAUAAUGUUCAUAGCAUCUUUUAUAAUGUAAUUGCUAGUUUCAUUAGACUAUUCCUUCUGUUUAUGUGGUUGAAGAAGAAUGGUGAAAUACACACCUCCAAAGAUGGGUUUUGAUGGGUUUUGUAGUUUGUGCUGUUAUAGUUAUCAAAUAGAGCUUAUGGAGCAGAGUGUUCCAAAGAGUUAAUUAAGUAAAAUAAUCUGCAGACUCUGAGUCUUCAAUAUUUUCUUGCUUAUGGAUAAGAAACAUUUGGCAAUC